rnacentral:lncRNA from 1 species
AUCCCCAUGUGUUCAGGGUCUAGUCCUACUUUUUAGACCUCUCCAAAGACCCAGUGAAACCCAGAAGGUAUUUCUAAGAAUCUCACCCUCGGACCAGGUAUUUAGCUCAGUAGUGCUGCCGCCUGCCUCACAAGCCCAAGGACCGGAGUUCAAUCCCCGGUACAAAAAAAAAAAAAAAAAAAAAAAAAAAAAAAUCUCACCCUCAAGUAGGAGCAGGGAUUUUACAAGAAUAAUAAGCAGAAAGGAAACUCCCAAUGAGAUCAACAGCAGUUCACAUUCUCCCCUUGAACAGAUCUUGCGCCAGCUGAAGGGCUAUGACUCCUACAAUACCCUGCUGUUACCACCUCGCACCCCAGGGGAGAAUCUGCCCCCAGAAUUGUAUGAGUACUUUAAAGAGAUCAAGAAGCCUAAAGAAGAACAAAUGAAGGCAAAAAAUCUGGAGAGUCUGGCGCAGGAUAAUGAAUUGGAAGAGCUGACUGUGUCAGGAACCUCCGCUAGCACAAAGAGAACAUCCGUCAGCCAAGGGAUCUCUGUCACAUCCUACUUUGAAAACCAGCACAACCUUUUGACAGAGUCCAAAGCCUACACAGAUGAAGAUGAGGAUGAGGACAGCCUGGAAAAAUUAAUCUUUCAAAUUACAGCUGACAAGAUUCAAAGAAGCCACAGCCAUUCUGCAGAGGAAGUUGGAGAGGUGGAAAGCAACCCAGUGAGCAAGGCAAUCGCUCGCCACCUAGGCAUUGACAUCUCUGCCGAGGGCUGCAUGGCCAAGAGUCGGAAAGGCAUCGCCAUUAUCAUCCAUGGGACACCCUUGUCAGGAAAGACACCCAACGCUAUCAGCAUAGCCAAGUACUACAGUGCAGCCUGCUUGAGCAUUGACUCCAUUGUCCUGGAAGCCAUAUCUGACAGCAGCAGCAUCCCUGGGAUGCGGGCCCGUGAGCUCUGCAUCAGGGCCACCAUAGAGCAGUCCAUAAAGGAAGAAGACGACUCUAGUAAGUCCCCAUUCUCCUUGAUUUGUUGUGGUCAAGUGGCCAGCACCUCUGCUGAUAAUACCCUCCUUCUCUGUGCCCCACUGAGCUUUCCUCCCACAGCUGACUGAAGGUUGCCUGGUA